AUUGAACGCUGGCGGCAUGCCUUACACAUGCAAGUCGAACGGCAGCACGGGAGCUUGCUCCUGGUGGCGAGUGGCGAACGGGUGAGUAAUACAUCGGAACGUACCCUGAAGUGGGGGAUAACGUAGCGAAAGUUACGCUAAUACCGCAUAUUCUGUGAGCAGGAAAGAGGGGGAUCGCAAGACCUCUUGCUUUAGGAGCGGCCGAUGUCGGAUUAGCUAGUUGGUGAGGUAAAGGCUCACCAAGGCGACGAUCCGUAGCGGGUCUGAGAGGAUGAUCCGCCACACUGGGACUGAGACACGGCCCAGACUCCUACGGAGGCAGCAGUGGGGAAUUUUGGACAAUGGGCGCAAGCCUGAUCCAGCCAUGCCGCGUGAGUGAAGAAGGCCUUCGGGUU
rnacentral:rRNA from 1 species